rnacentral:rRNA from 1 species
UACGUAGGGUGCAAGCGUUUGUCCGGAAUUAUUGGGCGUAAAGAGCUCGUAGGCGGUUUGUUGCGUCGGCUGUGAAAUCCCGAGGCUCAACCUCGGGUCUGCAGUCGAUACGAGCAAACUAGAGUGUUGCAGGGGAGACUGGAAUUCCUGGUGUAGCGGUGAAAUGCGCAGAUAUCAGGAGGAAUACCGGUGGCGAAAGCGACUCUCUGGACGGCAACUGACGCUGAGGCACGGAAAGCGUGGGGAGCAAACAGG